GGUGAACGCUGGCGGCAGGCCUAACACACGCAAGUCGAGCGGAUGAAGAGAGCUUGCUCUCUGAUUCAGCGGCGGACGGGUGAGUAAUGCCUAGGAAUCUGCCCGAUAGUGGGGGACAACGUUUCGAGAGGAACGCUAAUACCGCAUACGUCCUACGGGAGAAAGUGGGGGAUCUUCGGACCUCCCGCUAUCAGAUGAGCCUAGGUCGGAUUAGCUAGUUGGUGGGGUAAUGGCCGACCAAGGCGACGAUCCGUAACUGGUCUGAGAGGAUGAUCAGUCACACUGGAACUGAGACACGGUCCAGACUCCUACGGGAGGCAGCAGUGGGGAAUAUUGGACAAUGGGCGAAAGCCUGAUCCAGCCAUGCCGCGUGUGUGAAGAAGGUCUUCGGAUUGUAAAGCACUUUAAGUUGGGAGGAAGGGCAGUAAAUUAAUACUUUGCUGUUUUGACGUUACCGACAGAAUAAGCACCGGCUAACUCUGUGCCAGCCGCCGCAGUAA
rnacentral:rRNA from 1 species